rnacentral:rRNA from 1 species
CCUACGGGUGGCUGCAGUGGGGAAUAUUGGGCAAUGGGCGCAAGCCUGAUCCAGCAACGCCGCGUGAGGGAUGAAGGUUUUCGGAUUGUAAACUUCUGUCGCGAGGGACGAAAAAUGCCGGUACCUCGUAAGAAGCCCCCGCCUAACUACUUGCCAGCAGCCGCGGUAAUACGUAGGGGGCAAGCGUUUCCCGGAAUGACGGGGGGUAAAGGGAGGGUAGCCGGCCCGGCAAGUUAGAUGUGAAAUCCCGCGGCGUAACCGCGGAACUGCAUCUAAAACUGGUAAGCUGGAGUGCAGGAGAGGUGGGUGGAAUUCCUAGUGUAGCGGUGGAAUGCGUAGAUAUUAGGAGGAACACCAGAGGCGAAGGCGACUCACUGGACUGUAACUGACGCUGAGGCUCGAAAGCGUGGGGAGCAAACAGGAUUAGAUACCCUUGUAGUC